rnacentral:rRNA from 1 species
UACGUAGGGGGCAAGCGUUGUCCGGAUUUAUUGGGCGUAAAGAGCGUGUAGGCGGCCAGGUAGGUCAGCUGUGAAAACUCGAGGCUCAACCUCGAGACGUCGGUUGAAACCACCUGGCUAGAGUCCGGAAGAGGAGAGUGGAAUUCCUGGUGUAGCGGUGAAAUGCGCAGAUAUCAGGAGGAACACCAAUUGCGAAGGCAGCUCGCUGGGACGUAACUGACGCUGAGACGCGAAAGCGUGGGGAGCAAACAGG